rnacentral:rRNA from 1 species
AGUCGAGCGAGAAGACGUAGCAAUACGUUUGUAAAGCGGCGAACGGGUGAGGAAUACAUGGGUAACCUACCCUCGAGUGGGGAAUAACUAGCCGAAAGGUUAGCUAAUACCGCGUACGCUCCUUGGACUUCGGUUCAGGGAGGAAAGCGAUGCCGUGGGUAUCGCGCUCUUGGAUGGGCUCAUGUCCUAUCAGCUUGUUGGUGAGGUAACGGCUCACCAAGGCUUCGACGGGUAGCUGGUCUGAGAGGACGAUCAGCCACACUGGCACUGCGACACGGGCCAGACUCCUACGGGAGGCAGCAGUAAGGAAUAUUGCGCAAUGGGCGAAAGCCUGACGCAGCGACGCCGCGUGGGGGAUGAAGGUCUUCGGAUUGUAAACCCCUUUCGGGAGGGAAGAUGGAGCGAGCAAUCGUUCGGACGGUACCUCCAGAAGCAGCC